AGGGGAUUGCGAGGAGCUGUUCUUUUCGUGACUUCACGGCCUUCUGUGGUCUCUCUGUUGGAAUGGAAAGAGUUAUUUGCAGGGAGCCCUCAGCUGGGCAGGAGCUGGUGGUUUUUCCGGGGUCUGCGGAAGCACAGCUGGGCUCGUGCCCGGAGGAGCACACGCUGAGCUACACAGAGGUUUCAGCCACCCGGAGUGCGCUCACCUGAACUAUCAGCCUCACUAACCUCGUUUGCUGUGAGCUGUCCUGGGCAAACCUGGCUAUCGCAGGGAAAAUCCGAUCAGCG